UCUCUGAAGGUGGAGGAUGGGGGAAGAGAUGGAGUCUCACUAGGGAGGCUAACCAUUCACACUGAAAUCCUCCAGGUUCCCAUCCCACUAGGGCCCUCACUGAUAGAGGGGCUUCCACUACUGCCCCAGGCUCAUGUCAGACUUCUUUUACCUACCAGAUUACCAAUUCCAAUAUACCCUAUCAAAAUUCCAAGGUAUUCAAUAGGCCAAGGCCUCCUUCCUUCCCAUCAGGAAGUUCUAACCCUAGUCUAAUCACAGUCCCUCCUGCUUUGCUAAGAAGGAAUCCUGAAGACAGAUGGAAGCCUUGGGAAUCAAAUCCCUGGAAGGAGGAAAGACGAAGACCCACGAACCCCCUGGAAGUCAGAAAUCCACAUGGAGGGUACAAGCUCCUGACUCAGUCCAGACCCCUUCCCCCCCGCCUGGGGUCAGGGCUGGACAGGGAGGAGAAGCGAGCUCCUUGCAAGACGAGUUGGGGACAAGAUAGCUAGUGACCCUGGCCUUGGCUGACCCGAAAGAGGCCUGGAGACAUCUGUCCUCAAAGGAUUGUCCACUUCCGGUGACUCCCUGCUGCUGAUAAUAGGGCCCAUGUUUCCCAGAAGGCCCGAGGUUAUCCCAAGACUGCUUCUCUCCCUUCACCUCCCAUGGCUUCAUUCCUGAAGAGCCUGUGAUCACUUAGGGUCAGAAAUAGACGGGUAAGGAAGGACCAACUCCCCCACAAACUCAACUAUGGUGACUAGGAAGACCUAGACAAUUUAAAAAUCUGGAGACUUACUGCCACAGACACCCAGGACCAGGGAAUAGGCAGAGGCAGAAGAGGAAUUCCAAGACAGAAAAUUGAGUUAAAUUCAGUCCAACAGACAUUUAUUAGCGCCUACUGUGUGCCAGGCCCAGAGGGAACAUUGUGUUCAAAAGCGCAGACGCCUCCCAGGCUUUUGGCAUGGGUGACUGGGAGACGAUGGUGCCAUUCACAAAGCCUUGACAUGUUCGGCCGAAGGGUCUGUGGGAUGAUGGGUAGGAAGGGACAAGUCUAGGGAGG
rnacentral:lncRNA from 1 species